rnacentral:lncRNA from 13 species
GAUAAUGUAGUUGUGUUCUUGUUAUGCGUUGCUACCAACAGUUUAGAAAAGGCGAAGAGUGGUGCCCCUGAUUCGGCAUCCGCGCCAGCAGCCUCCUGCGGUUCCUGCUCGUUCCGACAUGUCAUUGUUUUUCUGUUGCGCGCAGCCAACAGUUUGUCUCUUCGGUUUAUUCAGUAUUUGGUAUUAAUUAUUGGUUUCGAGAUGCCGAAGUAUAAGCACGAACGUUCUGAAAAACGAUCUCGAGAACGAGAUGCAAGAAACUUAUCUAGAGUGCCCGCAUAUCAGGCAAGUUCUGACGCAACCUCAAUUGAGGUUAGUUCGCUUUGCGCUCUCCCGCCCCCUCAUCACAACUGAUAAUUUAAUGUUCACUCUCAAGGAAAUCCGGCUUUCAUAAAAAAGUAUGCCAGUCCGAGAAUUCCCGUAACGGACGCUUUGAGCAGUUUGAAUCUUAUCCAGAACGUCGUAGUAGAUAACGUCGUGGCAGAGAACAGCAUAGCAGAGGACAUCAUAGCAGAGGACGUCAUAGCAGAAGACAUUGAUUUUUCUCUGGUCGGAGGUGUACAAAUCUCCGACACAGAGGUCUCUGGGCAGACAGAUGGGCAAGUCGGUUCUUUAGAAUCAGGGUGGCGAACCAGGUAUAUUCCUUCGUUACGGCAUAGAAGGAACAUAACCGAUUGCCUCAUCUAACCACGCUUUUUAUAUUUUUUAGACCAGCAAAGCGUAUCGUCAGUAUGCUUCAAUCCCCAGAUAAUCAUUCCAGAUAAAAAUAAGGAAAAUAAUAUUUUGCUAAUUAAUGAAUUCUUCGAGAGCAUCCGGUUUUGGAUAAGUCUCUAUGGGACCCUAUUAAUUUUGAAUCCACAAAAAGCGAGGUUCGCUCAGGCCUGAAAGAAGAUAUACCCCUUCGUUUUCAAAAUUGAACUUCGAGGAAAUUUAACAAAUAUCAGACCCCCUAAAUUGAACAUUGAGAUUAAGGCGGCGUUAUCAAAACAUCACAGCGUUUUGAAGCGAGAUGAGUAUCAAAGCAGUGCCCAACUACAGGUAGGCGCUUACCUCAAUGGUUUUGGCUCUGGUUUUUCAGAGCUCCUGUAAGGCUAUCAAGACCAACCUAUACAAGCAAGUAUAAAGACCGCUAUUACAAAAUUGACGCCCACUUCCUAGCAGACCACCAAUACAGACCGUCAUUGGUCAGACAAUCUGUCAUCAAGCCAUGUCUAACAUUUAUAGAUAAAUCUGUGACCGACCAAUCCUUGGUUGACGAAUGGGUUUUUAGCUCAGCUUUUGUAAAAGGUCCUGCUACGGUAACCAAGGCAGGUUACCAACAACAACCUUAUCAACAACAGCCAGCAAAGCAGCUCCCAACUUAUAAGGGAAACUUCAAAGCGAAACGGACGUCUAUGGUUCGCAGCACAGAAGCCAAGACAAAGUCGGACCGAUUCUACAGCUACCACCAUCGCUCCCGGACACGAGAUCACCGUUAGAUCAAGUAAAAUCUGCUGGUAGACUUUGCGGUUUUAUUUUACAGUGAGAAAAAGUAACACAAGUUCUAGAAGCAAUUCGAGGCUGCAAAUUACCAUUUUCCUCACUCUCUCCUGCUUAUAAUCGUUUGAAAGAGCCAAAUUUCUCUGUAGUCAUGACAGAGGCCUGUGACAAAGAAAUUCUGCACUUUCUAUUUAAGGGAGCUAUGUCAGUCACUUCACCCUCAGCGGACCAGUUUCUCACUCAAUUUUUUCUUAUUGAAAAAACAUCGGGAGAAAUACGUUUUAUUUUAAAUUUAAAAGAUUUGAAUUGUUUUCUAUCUCCUCCUCAUUUUCAGUUAGAAGAUUGACGCAUGGUUACUCAAUUAAUGGUCUAGAAUUCGUGGAUGGCGACUAUAGAUUUAGAAGACGCAUACUUACUCGUCUCGAUCUCUCUCAAGACUCGUCGUUUUCUCUAUUUCCAAUAGCAUGGCGUUACAAAUUCACAGUUCUUCCUUUUGGUCUCCCUACAGCACCGUAUAUAUUCACUAAAAUUUUAAGCCCACUAAUGGGCUAUUUGCGGAGAAAAAGUUUUUGCUUGAUUACUUAUUUGGAUAAUUUUCUCCUUAUUGGUUCGUCUCGGAAGGACUGUUUGAGAAAUCUGGAAGCUUCCUUAAAUCUACUCUUGUCUCUAGCUCAAUCAAUUGCAAUCUUUCCUUAAAGGGGUUUAGCUCUGCAAAAUUUCCGAUUACUCGAAGAAGUCUAGAUGCCAAAUCAAAAAUUUUGCGAGCAUGAUUGGCUCAUUAAUCUCAAUAUGCCCAGCCGUACAAUAUGGACUUUUGUAUAAUAAGAAAUUUGAAAGAAAAAAAUUUUUGUCGCUGAGGGAAUCAAACGGUAACUAUGCAGACAAAAUGAAAAUUCCCGUCCAUUUGGCAGAAGGUUUUUAGUGGUGGAUUAAGAUCUUAUCCGAUUCUAAUCAAGUUUAUUUUAUCCGUUGAAACGCAAUAGUUCGAGAAGUAUUUUCAGACGCAUCCUUAUCAGGAUGGGGCGCUUCUUGCGGUGAAAUACAUACUCGGGGAUGGUGAUUAAAAAACGAGAAAUCCGCUUAUAUAAAUUUCCUCGAACUAAAAGCGGCCUUUUAUACUUUGAAAUGUUUUGCAGCAGAUCUCUCCAAUUACGAUAUUCUUUGCAUAGACAACAUGACAACAAUCUCAUAUAUUAAUCGCUUCCGCUCUGUGCAAUACCCACACUUGUCAGUCUUAGUAAAUUUGGUCAUUGUGCAAAGAACGUAAUAUUAUGUUAUCUGCAUCUUAUAUUACCUCAAUCAAUAAUUCUAUUGCGGAUCAAGAAUCUAGAAUGGUGAGUCUAGAUACAGAAUGGUCCUUAGCGCAGAAUGCCUUUUCAGAGAUUUUGUCACAAUUUGAUCCAUUUAACGUGGAUCUCUUUGCUUCAAUCAUAAGUGCGAAAUGUGAAAUUUAUGUGUCUUGGUUCCCAAAUCUAGGCUCGAUAGGAGUAGAUGCAUUUACAUUUUCUUGGUCAGAAGUAAAAUUUUUCGUAUGUCCCCCCUUUAUCUUAAUACCUCGCGUCCUCCAAAAGAUCAUAAACGAUAAAGCAAAGAGAGUCGUGGUAGUUCCGUGAUGGCCAGCGCACGCCUGGUUUCCUUUAUUCUGUCGUCUCCUAACCAGAGAACAUAUAAUAUUCCCACCCUCUCACAAAUUGCUCUCCUCUCCUUUCAGAGACCGCCAUCCGAGAUGGGAAAAACUUUUCCUGGCGGCAGGGAGCUUAUCCGGCUAGCUUUUUUAAAUCGAGAAGUACCACCGAGAGCAUUAGAGAUCACUUUAGCCUCAUUAUCGGAUUCAACAGUCAAGCAAUAUUCUAAACCUCUAAAAGAUUGGUGGCUUUAUUGCCAGUCUAUACUGAACUCCCCUUUCACACGUAUCCCUACGCAAUUUUUAGAAUUUUUAGCUCAAGAGCUGCAGCAACCGAAUUCAUACUCAACUAUCAAUACUACUCGUAGUGCUAUCUCUCUUAUCACACAUAACGAGACAGGAAACCAUGCGUUAGUAAAACAUUUUUUGUAAAGGAGUAGGAGUUCUAAAACCUUGUCUAGGAUCCGGUCCCAGUACUCGAUAAGCUCGCAAUCUUAUUCCCAUAAGAUUUGCUUUCUUUUGACACGGUGACAAAAAAAUUGGUUGUACUCCUCGCUUUAGGCAUGGGCCAGACGCUCGCGUCGUUUAAGCUAUCUCAGAUCUUUAUAGGAGAUAAGCUUAUUAUCAAAGUGCCGGGGCGCAUUAAAACUUCUGCCCCGGGACGUUUUCCAGCCGUUUUUUUCAUUUUUCUCGUUUGAUAAUAACAAAAGCCUUUGCAUCUAUAAAUUAGUAAAACAUUAUUUAGAUAAAAUUCAAAAUUUACGGGCUUCCUCGGGCGACUCCCUUUUCAUUUCUCUUGAUCGCCCACAUAAGGCCAACAAACAAUUAACCGUUAGUUACGUUUCAGCCUAGAAAACUGUGGAGUUAGGGCCGAUUUAAUCGCGUUACACAGUACGCGCCAUGCUUCGACUCGGGCAUCCCAAAAGGGUGUAACCUUAAACCUAAAAAAACGAGCUGCAGGUUGGUCGGAUUCCUCCUGAAUUUUCGCACGUUAUUAUAACCGCCCAAUUAUAAAUCCAGAAGAGUUCAGCUACUCCGUUUUACGUCCUUUAACAGUAUUGUAAGACCCACUGAGUUAUAAGCUUUGACGAUAAGUUUUCACGUUUUCUUAUGUAUUUUAAGUUUUCACGUUUUUAAGUUUUUACAUUUCUCAUGAAUAAAUUGUAAUUUAAUACCGCUAAUGCGAAUCUCUUCUAGUUAAUAAACUCUCUAAAAAUAAACCUCGGACAAAAUAUAGUUUAAAAAAAAGAGGUUUAAUAAAUAGAAAAACUGACAAAAAAAUUUACUUUUCUCUUCUCUUUUCUAUAGAACGCAAAUGGCGCUCUAAACAUCUACAUUAUCCAUACGGACAAGACCACAUAGCAUAAUUCAAAAAUCAAACGACCUUACCAAGUAAAGUUCGAUUGAAAUUAUGCUUGGGGUCUUGUUCGUAUGGAUCUUUCCCUCCCAGUAUCAAAUCUUCUCACCAACCUGUGUAAUAGGCAUGGGGCUCUUGUAAGUAGAAACGUUAGACAAUAGAAAAAGAAAGAAUAUGAGAGGGCCAUCUUCAUUCUUGUUUAAUGUUGGGCACGCAUUGAGCUGAAUGUAGCUGAGUAGGAAAGUAUCUCUUUCUCUCGCAUUGUGAUUAUUGAGGGAUCUUUUAUUCUCUGUAUCUUUCUAUUAACUCACGCAUUCGUGGCUGACUCUUUCACCCUUUAUAUACAAUCUCUUUGCUUCCCACCUAAUUCUAAGAAUUAUCUAGGCGAUUUCGUUCUCUCAACAAAUGACAUGACGGAACCGCAGGAGGCCGCUGGCGCGGGUACCGAAUCAGGGGCGUCAUUCUUCGUCUUUUCUAAACUGUCAGUAGCAACGUGUAACAAGAACACUACUACAUUAUCCAUACGGACAAGACCCCAAGCAUAAUUUCAAUCUAACUUUACUUGGUAAGUUUGUUUGAUUUUACAAUUAUAUGAUAAACUUUUACCGGACCAGUGAUUUGUAUAAUACAUAUUAUAAUAAUAUAACUAAUUUAUAUCAAAACUAACGAAUAUGUCAAUAUGUGAAGAUCAGAUAAUAAAUUAUGAUUAAUUCUC